ACUGCAACCUCUGCCUCCCAGGUUCAAGCGUUUCUCCUGCCUCACCCUCCCAAGUAGCUGGGAUUGCAGGCAUGCACCACUGUGCCCAGGAAGCUGAGAGUGCUGAGGGCACAUCUGAAACCACUGGAGGUUGGCGACAUGGAGGUCAGAUUCUACAUCCCACCAGAGACGUACUCAACUGCUGACCACGAAGAGGUUCACAUGUGUAGGCUC
rnacentral:lncRNA from 10 species